rnacentral:tRNA from 1 species
AAAUGAUGGUUUAAACCCUUCCCUUACUA